rnacentral:rRNA from 1 species
UGGGGAAUAUUGCACAAUGGGGGAAACCCUGAUGCAGCGACGCCGCGUGAGCGAAGAAGGUUUUCGAAUCGUAAAGCUCUGUCCUAUGAGAAGAUAAUGACGGUAUCAUAGGAGGAAGCCCCGGCUAAAUACGUGCCAGCAGCCGCGGUAAUACGUAUGGGGCGAGCGUUGUCCGGAAUUAUUGGGCGUAAAGGGUACGUAGGCAGUCUAUUAAGUCAGGUGUGAAAGCGUGAGGCUUAACCUCAUUAAGCACUUGAAACUGAUAGACUUGAGUGAAGGAGAGGAAAGUGGAAUUCCUAGUGUAGCGGUGAAAUGCGUAGAUAUUAGGAGGAAUACCGGUGGCGAAGGCGACUUUCUGGACUUUUACUGACGCUCAGGUACGAAAGCGUGGGGAGCAAACAGG